AUUGAACGCUGGCGGCAUGCCUUACACAUGCAAGUCGAACGGCAGCACGGGAGCAAUCCUGGUGGCGAGUGGCGAACGGGUGAGUAAUAUAUCGGAACGUGCCCAGUAGUGGGGGAUAACUACUCGAAAGAGUGGCUAAUACCGCAUACGAUCUACGGAUGAAAGCGGGGGAUCGCAAGACCUCGCGCGUCUGGAGCGGCUGAUGGCAGAUUAGGUAGUUGGUGGGAUAAAAGCCUACCAAGCCAACGAUCUGUAGCUGGUCUGAGAGGAUGAUCAGCCACACUGGGACUGAGACACGGCCCAGACUCCUACGGGAGGCAGCAGUGGGGAAUUUUGGACAAUGGGCGAAAGCCUGAUCCAGCCAUUCCGCGUGCAGGAUGAAGGCCCUCGGGUUGUAAACUGCUUUGUACAGAACGAAAAAGACUCUGGCUAAUACCUGGAGUCCAUGACGGUACUGUAAGAAUAAGCACCGGCUAACUACGUGCCAGC
rnacentral:rRNA from 1 species